AAAAAAGAGGGGAGAAUUAAUGAUAGACAGAGAUUUAGAAAGAUAAUAAGUAAGGGAAAAAAAGAAAGAUCGAUUAGAUACUGGAUGGAUCGAUAUUGUUAGAUCCGAUGUAGAGGUUCUAUUAUUAACCUAUCUGUAUUGAUGAUAAUAUUUCCGGUUACUAGUUGAGCAUCCUCAGAAUUUUUUUAUAUCUCUUUUCGUAUAUUAACAUACUUGUUCCCGGUGUCUGAAAAUUUGGUACAUUUGCUCUGUUUACACCUACGUUUCUCAUCGAUUUCCACUUUGCCAAACCUUCAACCCAGUUUAUAAGCUAAAUUUCUUUACCUCUUUGCGCCUUAACUUACUUUUAUAUCAUGUACUCAGUAAACUUUCACUGUUGAUCCAUCGAUUUUUCGUCUACCCUUUCUGUUGGUCUAUUAACCUGUUAAAAAUGGCUUCCUAAAUAACUGUAAUUUUCAUAUUUCAUUACUUUUCAUUUAAUGGUUGUUGCACCUUAAAAAUGCAUCGUAAUUGGUAUAAGUGAAGCUUAUCAAAUCGGAAGACUGAUUCAUCACAUUUUUUACAUCACAAGCCUCAACAAAGCCUUUUCACUCUUAUCACUCACGAGAUUCCGAUAUAAUUGAGAGUUGAUUGUCAGCCUGAUAUCAAAUGGUUUGGCUGAUAGCAAAAUAACUAUGCACAAAAUGCUUUGAUUCCAGCAAUCUUAAUGCUUCUCGGUAGGAGAGAUGUGUAUGCGUGGCUAAGAUUAUUAUCGAUUAAGCACACAUCAAGCUUGAUUAAAAGACGAAAGCAAAGCCUAAAUUAUUCAAACAAAACCUUAUUCUAGCAAACAAAGGAUCCAUCUGUGAGAGGAAGUUCAGAAUUUUAACGAUAGGAACUUUUAGUUAAACAUUAACAUGGAUAAAUGUAAAGCAAGGCAAAUAGACAAACAAAUAAUUUACAUGCAUAUAAAUGAUUGACAAUGGUUUGUUGACUUUACCUCUCAAUUCAUAUUUAAUUGGCAAACAAUUGGCAUCGUGGUCUUUUCAACAUUAAUACCAACCAAGACAACAUCAAGAAAAGCAACUAAAUACACAAAAGGUCAUCUCAAUAUUGGUAUUAUAAUUAAUAAAUUACUCAUACCAAUCUUUGCCUACUAAAUCU